AUGGCCGGAGACGGGCGUCGCGUGGUGGUCUUCCCCUUCCCGUUCCACGGCCACGCCACCCCCCUCCUCCGCCUCGCCAGCGUUCUCCACACCCGCGGCUUCGCGGUGACCAUCUUCCACACCGAGCUCCGGGCGCCCGACCCGGCCGAGUACCCCGCGGACUACCGCUUCGUGCCCCUGCGCGUGGACGUGCCCCCGGAGCUGAUGGCGUCCGAGGACAUCGCGGGGAUGGUCACGGCCAUGAGCGAGUACUCCGAGGCGCCCUUCAAGGAACGCCUGACCGCGGCGCUCGCCGAGGAAGGCGCCGGUGUCCGGUGCGUCAUCGCCGACGUCGCCUGGUACAAGGCCCUGUCGGUGUCCAGCGCCCUCGGCGUGCCGGCGAUGGGCGUCAUGACGGCCAGCGCCGCCAACUACCGGGUUUACAUGGCGUACCCGAUGUUGAUUGAGAAGGGCUACCUGCCUGUACAAGAGGCGCGCAGGGAGGAUCUGGUCCAGGAGCUGCCGCCGUACCGUGUGAAAGAUCUGCUACGGCUCGAGGCAUCCAGCCUCCAGGGCUUCGCCGACCUGCUCCGGAACACCAUCGAGGCACCGCGCCAGUCCGCAGGCCUCAUAUUCAACACCUUGAGGGCCAUUGAGGCCGACGACCUGGACACGAUCCGCCAGGAGGAGUCCCUCCCGGUCUUCGCCCUCGCCCCUCUCCACAAGCUGGCGCCGCCGGGCAACACCAGCAGCAGCCUGUACGGCGAGACGCAGGCGGACCGCGAGUGCCUCGAUUGGCUCGACACGCAGGAACCAGGCAGUGUGGUGUACGUGAGCUUCGGGAGCCUGGCCGCCAUGGACCCGCACGAGUUCGUGGAGCUGGCGUGGGGGCUCGCCGCCAGCAAGCGGCCGUUCCUCUGGGUCGUCAGGCCCACGCUCAUCCGCGGCUACGAGUCCGGCCAGCUGCCCGACGGGCUCGACGAGCAGAUCCGUGAUCAUGGCAGGCUCGUCAGCUGGGCACCGCAGGUGGAGGUGCUCGCCCACCCUGCGGUAGGCGCCUUCAUCACGCACAGCGGCUGGAACUCCACGGUGGAAGCCGUGUCGGAGGGCGUGCCGAUGAUAUGCCUCCCGUUGCACGGAGACCAGUUCAGCAACGCCAGGUACGUGUGCGAUGUCUGGAAGGUGGGAGUGGAGAUCGAGGCGUCGUCGGCGGCUGGGCAGAACCUGGAGAGAGGGAAGAUCAAGGCUGCCAUCGACAAGAUUGUGCACGACAAAGGGAUUAGAGAGAGGAUGGAUGCCUUCAAAUUAGCUGCAGAUGAAGCAGUUAACUCCCAAACUGAGGUGAAAGCUUUGGUUGAUCUCAUAAACUCGUUUUAA
rnacentral:rRNA from 1 species